GACGAACGCUGGCGGCGUGCUUAACACAUGCAAGUCGAACGGAAAGGCCCUGCUUUUGUGGGGUGCUCGAGUGGCGAACGGGUGAGUAAAACGUGAGUAACCUGCCCUUGACUGUGUGGGAACUUCAGGAAACUGGGGAGAAUACCGGAUAGGAGCUCCUGCUGCAUGGUGGGGGUUGGAAAGUGUCGGCGGUGGGGGAUGGAAUAGAGGCUUAUCAGCUUGUUGGGGGGGUAGUGGCGUACCAGGGCUUUGACGGGUAGCCGGCCUUGGCGGUGGGCCGGCGACCAUGGGCCUGAGAUACGGCCCAGACUCCUACGGGAGGCAGCAGUCGGGAAUAUUGCACAAUGGGCGGAAGCCUGAUGCAGCAACGCCGCGUGCGGGAUGACGGCCUUCGGGUUGUAAACCGCUUUCGCCUGUGACGAAGCGUGAGUGACGGUAAUGGGUAAAGAAGCACCGGCUAACUACGUG
rnacentral:rRNA from 1 species